rnacentral:lncRNA from 1 species
UAGGCUGCCCUGAAUGUUACCACCACCCAUCUCCGCCGCCGAAAUGUCCUCCGCCACACUAUCCGCCUAAACAUCAUCAUCCUCCCAUUGUUAAGCCACCCUAUCACCCUAAACCACCAAAACAUCAUCCUCCAAAGCCACCUAAGCCUCCCGCGGUAAACCCACCAUAUCACCCUAAACCACCGAAGCCACCGGUGGUGAAGCCACCGGUGGUGAAGCCACCGUAUCACCCUAAACCACCUAAGCCUCCGGUGGUGAAACCCCCAUAUCACCCUAAGCCACCAAAACAUCCCCCGCAUCCUCCCAAGCCACCUGUUGUAAAGCCUCCCUAUGUACCUAAGCCACCUAUUGUAAAGCCUCCACCGUAUACACCCAAACCACCGGUUGUGAAGCCUCCGCCAUAUACACCCAAACCGCCGGUUGUGAAGCCUCCGCCAUAUACACCCAAACCGCCGGUUGUGAAGCCUCCGCCAUAUACACCCAAACCGCCGGUUGUGAAGCCUCCGCCAUAUGCACCCAAACCGCCGGUUGUGAAGCCUCCGCCAUAUGCACCCAAACCGCCGGUUGUGAAGCCUCCGCCAUAUGCACCCAAACCGCCGGUUGUGAAGCCUCCACCAUAUACACCCAAGCCACCUUACUAUCCAAUACCGCCGGUCAUAUCACCACCAACACUGCCUCCAAAGCCACCAGUCUACCCCAGUCCACCAAUAGUGAACCCUCCACCAUAUACACCCAAACCGCCGGUUGUGAAGCCUCCGCCAUAUACACCCAAGCCACCUUACUAUCCAAUACCGCCGGUCAUAUCACCACCAACACUGCCUCCAAAGCCACCAGUCUACCCCAGUCCACCAAUAGUGAACCCACCAACACCGCCGAUUCUGCCACCUCCUAUUGUGAAUCCACCAACACCGCCGAUUCUACCACCACCAUCACCACCUAUUGUGAACCCACCAACGC